GACGAACGCUGGCGGCGUGCCUAAUACAUGCAAGUCGAGCGGACCAAAGGGAGCUUGCUCCUGGAGGUCAGCGGCGAACGGGUGAGUAACACGUGGGCAACCUGCCUGUAAGACUGGGAUAACAUCGAGAAAUCGGUGCUAAUACCGGAUAAUAAAAAGAACUGCAUGGUUCUUUUUUGAAAGAUGGUUUCGGCUAUCACUUACAGAUGGGCCCGCGGCGCAUUAGCUAGUUGGUGAGGUAACGGCUCACCAAGGCAACGAUGCGUAGCCGACCUGAGAGGGUGAUCGGCCACACUGGGACUGAGACACGGCCCAGACUCCUACGGGAGGCAGCAGUAGGGAAUCUUCCGCAAUGGACGAAAGUCUGACGGAGCAACGCCGCGUGAGUGAUGAAGGUUUUCGGAUCGUAAAACUCUGUUGUUAGGGAAGAACAAGUGCGUUCGAAAGGCGGCACCUUGACGGUACCUAACGAGAAAGCCACGGCUAACUACGUAGCCAGCAGCCGCGGUAAA
rnacentral:rRNA from 1 species